ensembl:lncRNA
CACGGCAACCUCCCGAAAGAGAGGGGGGGUCAAUCGUUGGGUUGCGCAUGUGCAGAGAGAUCGCGCGAGCUGCGGGCCUUGAAUUUUCUAAGGGAAAAAAUACUCUUUCUCACGGACGGUGACAGCGGAGCGGAUAAGUCUUCAGUACCUGCUGGUCUUUGAAGCUCUGGAUUCUGGGACUGUUGAAAAGCUCCAACCAAAUGAGGAAGAGGAGGGAGAAACACAAUUAGAUUUAAUUACAAUUGGAUGGAAGUCGAGGACAAGGAGAAGGAAGCUUAGGAAGAGGAGGAAGAGAAGCAGCAGGAGCAUCUUUAGGGAUCUCUAUGAUGUCAUUGAGAGGUAGCGGCAAGAGGCGGGACCUCGACUCAUCCAGCUGGAGAGCCUGAUCAGGAGGCGUCGAAAAUUAACUCUGCUCUUCCAGGGCACCCUGCAGACUCAGCUGCUGGCAACAGCGAGGGAGUGUGGCCGCCGCUGGGAUGAUGUGAACGCCAAACAGGAGUCCAUCACAGGUCGACUGCAGCUCCUUGUCUCAGAGUGGGAGGGAUUUGAAGCACAAAGGGAGGAGCUUGUCGUUUGGUUGGCUGAUAUGGAUGUUCGCCUGAGUGAGGUUGACCAGCUGACAGGAAACACCUGUGAAAAGCUGAAACAACUGCAGGUGUGGGGUUGUUUUGAUAUGACACAUAUUUGAUAUGAUACAUAUGUCAGAGACAUUAUCCUAAACUGGACUAACAAAGGACAAUGAGUCCAACUUACCUUACAUAAGGUAAGGCUGAAGUUCAUUGAUCAUUUUAAUCAAAAACUUAUAUUUUUACUGAACAUGCAAACAUCUGCUGAUGAAAAUGUCUUGAUUUAUUGGUCUGUUAUGAAGCUAUUGCUAUUUCUAAUAUGUUUUAUCACUUUCUGAUGUUUUAUUAAUUAAACAAUACAUGUAUUAAUUGUUGUGUUAUCUAUAGAUAUAGUAUUUAUAUAUUUAUUUAUAGUAUAGCAAAAAUGUUUAUUUAUUAUUGUUAAUGACUAAUAUGUGACAUGUAUGAGUAGUGAUGUUGUGCUGAGGGUUAAAAUGCCUUUUUGUCUUUUGGUAUAUUAGGAAAUGUCAAUAAACCAUUAAUAUAUG